GGGCCAUUAGCUCAACUGGUAGAGCAGGCGACUCUUAAUCGUCAGGUUACAGGUUCGAUUCCUGUAUGGCCCACCA
rnacentral:tRNA from 1 species